rnacentral:rRNA from 1 species
UACGAGCGGCCCAAACGUUAUUCGGAAUUACUGGGCGUAAAGCGUGCGCAGACGGUUGCGUAAGUCAGAUGUGAAAGCCCCGGGCUCAACCUGGGAAUUGCAUUUGAGACUGCGUAGCUAGGGUGCGGAAGAGGGAAGCGGAAUUUCCGGUGUAGCGGUGAAAUGCGUAGAUAUCGGAAGGAACACCAGUGGCGAAAGCGGCUUCCUGGUCCAGCACCGACGUUCAGGCACGAAAGCGUGGGGAGCAAACAGG